UACGGGGGGGCAAGCGUUGUUCGGAAUUACUGGGCGUAAAGGGCUCGGUAGGCGCCAACUAAGUCCGGACGUGAAAUCCCCAGGCUUAACCUGGGAACUGCGUCGGAUACUGGUUGGCUUGAAUCCGGGAGAGGGAUGCGGAAUUCCAGGUGUAGCGGUGAAAUGCGUAGAUAUCCGGAAGAACACCAAUGGCGAAGGCAGUGUCCUGGCUCGUCUCUGACGCUCAAGCACGAAAGCUAGGGGAGCGAACAGG
rnacentral:rRNA from 1 species